CAGCCUUAGGCCUCAGGGAGCAGAAUUGGGGGCACCUCCAUCAUGGCCAGGAUCCCUCUCCUCCUCGGCCUCCUCAUUCACUGCACAGGUGC
rnacentral:pre_miRNA from 1 species